rnacentral:lncRNA from 10 species
UUCCGGCCUAUCUGGAGGUUUUUAAUAACCACAGAAAACCUCAACACGUCUGUGUAAAACCUUCCAAUGUCAAGGAGUGAGCUGCCCCAGGGCCCCCCAAGGCCUGGCUUUCAGUGACACUCCCUUCACCCUAAAGCCCCGCAAACGUUAUUUAUUAUUUAUUUUUUAUUAUUUUUUUGAGACGGAGUCUCGCUGUCUCGCCCAGCCUGGAGUGCACUGACACAGUCUCAGCUCACUGUAAGCUCCGCCUCCCAGGUUCACGCCAUUCUCCUGCCUCACCCUCCCCAGUAGCUGGGACUACUGGCAUCCACCACCAAGCUCGACUAACUUUUUUUUGUAUUUUUAGUAGAGACAGGGUUUCGCCGUGUUGGCCGGGCUGGUCUUGAACUCCUGACCUCAGGUGAUCUGCCCACCUUGGUCUCAAAGUCCUGGGAUUAUAGGCGUGAGCCACCCAGCCCAUGCCCUGCAAAUUUUAAAAUGCUGCAUGUUUUACAGGAAAGGGUCUGGCCCCGGGAGGCAGGGAAAUCCUACCCCCUGGACUGCAGCAUGUCCGUGGCCAGGGCAAAAAGGGGCAUCCCCAGGACCGGCCGAGGUCCCGCCGGUUUGGAGCACAG